GGCUUGAAACAGGCGCAUGCUGAUUUUAUUGAGGAAAAAAAAGGAUUUUGAGGGCCGCAGGAUGCGUGCAGGAAUCAGAGAAGGGGAAGGCAAGGGGUGGAUCUUCUUAAAAUAACAAAGUUAUGAAAGUCUAAUUCAAAGAGCCUGUUCUUCACAUCAAGCUAAUCUGCGACUCCUGCAUAAGGAGAGGGGCGAAUGGCGAGGCCGUGUCGUGAUUCUGCACGACAAUUAGGCUGAUGAAGCCCGAGAGGGAUAAAGGCAACCAGCUGUCCGAUA